GUCUUUGGCCAUACUAUCCUAGACAUGUCCAAUCUCAUCUGAUCUUGGAAGCUAAACAGAGUUGGCCUAGUUAGAAUUUGGAUGGGAGAGGGGCUGGGGAUUAACUCAGCGGCAUAAGCG
rnacentral:rRNA from 1 species